rnacentral:rRNA from 1 species
UACGGGGGGGGCAAGCGUUGUUCGGAAUUACUGGGCGUAAAGGGCGCGUAGGCUGCUCGCUAAGUCGGGUGUGAAAACUCUGGGCUCAACCCAGAGCCUGCAUUCGAAACUGACGAGCUAGAGUUCUGGAGGGGAAAGCGGAAUUCCUGGUGUAGCGGUGAAAUGCGUAGAUAUCAGGAGGAACACUGGUGGCGAAGGCGGCUUUCUGGACAGAAACUGACGCUGAGGCGCGAAAGCUAGGGGAGCAAACAGG